AUUGAACGCUGGCGGCAUGCCUUACACAUGCAAGUCGAACGGCAGCACGGGGCAACCUGGUGGCGAGUGGCGAACGGGUGAGUAAUGCAUCGGAACGUACCUUUCAGUGGGGGAUAACGUAGCGAAAGUUACGCUAAUACCGCAUAUUCUGUGAGCAGGAAAGCAGGGGAUCGCAAGACCUUGCGCUGAUUGAGCGGCCGAUGUCAGAUUAGCUAGUUGGUGAGGUAAAGGCUCACCAAGGCGACGAUCUGUAGCCGGUCUGAGAGGAUGAUCCGCCACACUGGGACGGAGACACGGUCCAGACUCCUGCGGGAGGCAGCAGUGGGGAAUGUUGGACAAUGGGGGCAACCCUGAUCCAGCCAUGCCGCGUGAGUGAAGAAGGCCUUCGGGUUGUAAAGCUCUUUCGGCCGGGAAGAAAUCGCACGGGCUAAUACCCUGUGUGGAUGACGGUACCGGAAUAAGAAGCACCGGCUAACUACGUGCCAGCCGCCGCCGUAACAC
rnacentral:rRNA from 1 species